rnacentral:ncRNA from 1 species
CGCGCGGCGGGUGAAAAGGGAACGGGGUGUGAUUCCCCGACAGGACCGCUGCUGUGAUGCGGAGCGACGGAGGAAAGGUCAUUGGCGCGAGCCGAGAAGACGCUUCGCCGCGAUGAGGCUGAGUCAGAAGACCUGCCUGUGAAGAU